rnacentral:rRNA from 1 species
UUCCGGUUGAUCCUGCCGGAGGUCACUGCUUUCGGGGUUCGAUUAAGCCAUGCGAGUCGAGAGGGUUCGGCCCUCGGCGUACUGCUCAGUAACACGUGGAUAACCUGCCCUAGGGAAGGGGAUAAUCCCGGGAAACUGGGGAUAAUACCCUAUAGGUUACAGAUGCUGGAAUGCUCUGUAAUCAAAAGUUCCGGCGCCCUAGGAUGGAUCUGCGGCCGAUUAGGUUGUUGUUGGGGUAAUGGCCCAACAAGCCAGUAAUCGGUACGGGUUGUGGGAGCAAGAGCCCGGAGUUGGAUUCUGAGACACGAAUCCAGGCCCUACGGGGCGCAGCAGGCGCGAAAACUUUACAAUGCGGGCAACCGUGAUAAGGGAACCUCGAGUGCCUGUAAAUGCAGGCUGUUCAGAUGCCUAAAACACAUCUGGAGAAAGGGCCGGGCAAGACCGGUGCCAGCCGCCGCGGUAAUACCGGCGGCUCGAGUGGUGGCCACUUUUAUUGGGCUUAAAGCGUUCGUAGCUGGGUUGUUAAGUCUCUUGGGAAAUCUGGCGGCUUAACCGUCAGGCGUCUAAGGGAUACUGGCAAUCUUGGAACCGGGAGAGGUGAGGGGUACUUCGGGGGUAGGAGUGAAAUCCUGUAAUCCUCGAGGGACCACCUGUGGCGAAGGCGCCUC